UGUGAGGGAGGGAGGGAGGACAACACUGUUACCCAGCAUGCACCAGCACACCCGACGCUCCUGCUGUGUCGGCUGCACGUGUUCGACUCUCCUGCUUUAUUACGGAUUUGUUCCUUGGCUGAAGCUCCUGGAAUCCUGUAGGAGUGAUGAGGAAGGGUAGUAAAGGGCACCUCAACGGUGAGGUAAGUGGAAUGGACAACUCUUCGAGGGACAUUUGGACACAAAUGCCAGGUAAGCUUCGUUACACGUUCUGCAACAGCCAUGUGUGCAUUCAAUGCUCGGGCAGUGUACAGAAAGACUAAUAUCUUCAGUGGCUAGGUAGUGACAGAGCAUGCUGAAGCCUGAGUGCUUUGCAAGAUGCUGUAAUCGUGUGGUGGUUUGGGAGACGCAGCCUCUGUUAUUACUGUUAUUAGAGUAAAAGACGUGCGUAACGUACCCAGUUCUUUUUCUAAUUAUGGAACGUGAGAAAGGACUUAUCAAACCCGUGAUGAAAUAUAUUUUCCCUUGGUUGCGGAAAACCCACACUUUGAUAAGGGAAAUAAUGUUAAGGAAGGCUUGAAGAUUCCACAUCUCAAGGUAAAAGUUAAAUAUACUUAAGCCAGUUUUUCGUAUGCCAAUAUAUUUUUACUCCAGAACUAACCAAGGCGCCCAAGCUUGCCAAAAUUUACACCUAAUAUUGAUUAAUUUACCUGAUCAUAGAAUAAACAUAUCAAUAUUUAGAAUAUUUUAAAUUAAGGAAUUGCAGAAAAUAUUCUGAUUAACCUAGUGGAAACUCUUUGCCUUUUAAGCAACAGGUGUUCAUUUCAUUGCAGUGAUUUUUUCUUGGUUAUGGAAGCCAUGAGAUGCAUAGUAUAUUUUGUUCUUGAUUGUGAGAGAAUCUCCAGACUGCAGACCUGUCCAGAGGGAAGGGGGGGGGGUGUACAUUCAUAUAACCUGGCGGGCGUGGUGAGCCUUAAAGAAAAGCAAAAAGUGCGGUAGAGUUCGAAAAUGGGUGUGUGGCUCCUUAAUAGAACUGUCGCUAAGAAACAAUUCUUAGCAGAUUUUAAGAAUAGAGCUUUUGCGUGUCUUACAUCAAGCAGCUUGCAGGUGUUGCUGCUCCUUAGCGAGCCUUGUGAUGUAGUGCUGACACGAGUUAUUCCACUCUCAGUUUUUGUACCUUAAUAGGGGGUAUUUUUAAAUACCGGUGUGCCAGUACGAAGCUCCAUUUUAAGGGAAUUUUAUAAAUGAUGCGGGACACUUAACUGUGAUAGUUUUUUUUUUUUCCGAGUGUUGGUUUUAAUAUUGCACGUGUUCGUAUUAGACUUCUCGGCUUUGUCUUAGUGCUUGUUGUUUUUAAUUGUCAACGGUGCUGAAUAAACUUGUUAAUUUUUUUUAAUAAUGCCACUUGCUUCUAGAUCCUAAUGUUUUGCUAAUUCUAGAAAUGUGACUUUCCAUAAUCGUCCACUUACCUUCAUGGUACUCGAGUACAGAGAAACUAACUAGUGGGCAUAAAAUUUGUGUUUAAUUAACUAGUGAUUGUUAAUUUAGCUGGAGAAUUUCUAAAGAACUGAGAAAUUUUUUGUAUCUACCAAGAACAUUAUAAAAAUAAAAGGAAGCAUGGUUUAUUUUAAACCGCCUGUACCCUACGACUAAAAGAUUCCAAGAAAAUGGGUUGAAGAACCUACUCCCAUAACCUGCCUCGGGAAGGGGGGGGGGCUUAAUAAGGAUACUGGCUGGCUGUUUGUUCAAAGCUCGCCUCGUCUGAUUGGAAAGCUCUGCUCUAAGGUGACGUUAAUAACUAAGUGAAUGCCUUCACUUAUCGUUACUGUUUUGUGUUAAGCCUUGGGAAUGAGAACUUGAUUUAUGUUGGGUCAUCAAAACAAUUUGGAUAUGCGCGUGUAAUAUUUUGGUUUUAAUUUGAGGUAUAAUCAUGUAUACAGUAGAAGAUUUAAAAAGACAAUCUCUUCCAACUCCUCAGCUGAAAGAAUCGAGAAUGCAACAGGAAUAUCACCCUCGCGAUGGCCAACCACAGUGAGAAGAAACAGGAAGGUAACAGCUCUUGGGGUCCCUGUGGUCUAUGAGCUGGAACCUGCUUUGAAAAAAAAAAUGCCUGUUACCCAUUUUCCCCAUUAGUCCAAAGGUCUUUGAUCCUUCUACAACAAAUUAGUACUGGUGGCCCAUGUCUCCAUAUGUUGGUUUUGAAUUCUUCCUCGUGAUCAGCGUCAUUACCUUUAUGCCCAACAAUCAUUAUUUUUUUUUUUGGGGGGGGGGGGCCUACCUCGGUGAGAGUGCGUGUUAAAAAACUAAGCGAGCGAGCGCGCGCGCACACCACACACACAACACACACAACACACACACACACACACACACACACACACACACACACACACACACACACACACACACACACACACACACACACACACACACACACACACACACACACACACACACACACACACACACACACACACCGGUACAAGCAACGCGCGCACAAAUAAACAUACAAUCCACGCUAUGCACGCACUCGAAAUUUAAGAUGAAUUUUUUUUUUUUAUAUUGAAAAUCUCAGGUACACAAAACAAACAUAUAGGCAAAAAUAACAAGUACAGAUAAUAAAUAAGGGACACUUGUUUAUACAAUUCACUCAAGGAAUGCGUAUUGUAAAACAUGUCAAACCACAAACAAAAACAUAGCUACCUUGAAAGGUCUGUAUAAUCCUCCGGGUUUAGCGCUUCCCCCUUGAUUAUAAUAAUAAAUAAUAAUACCUUGAAAGGUAGUGUGAAGCAUUACUUUGGGAAUGAAGAUAAUCCCUUAUAGAACAUAUAGUGAACUUCUCAAAAGUCCCACCAAACACAAUACAGUAUUUGACUUUGCACAGCAAACCAUAUAAUUCACGUGGUUAGAAAAAAAAAAAACAUAGGAACACAGUAGAUACGAAUAUGAAAACCUCAUGUACAUGGAACAGUAACAUGUAUGCCAAAUAAACAA